CCUACGGGGGGCUGCAGUGGGGAAUAUUGGACAAUGGGGGCAACCCUGAUCCAGCCAUGCCGCGUGUGUGAAGAAGGCCCUCGGGUUGUAAAGCACUUUCAGUGAGGAAGAACGCCUGGUGGUUAAUACCCAUCAGGAAAGACAUCACUCACAGAAGAAGCACCGGCUAACUCCGUGCCAGCAGCCGCGGUAAUACGGAGGGUGCGAGCGUUAAUCGGAAUUACUGGGCGUAAAGCGCGCGUAGGUGGCUUGAUAAGCCGGUUGUGAAAGCCCCGGGCUCAACCUGGGAACGGCAUCCGGAACUGUCAAGCUAGAGUGCAGGAGAGGAAGGUAGAAUUCCCGGUGUAGCGGUGAAAUGCGUAGAGAUCGGGAGGAAUACCAGUGGCGAAGGCGGCCCUCUGGACUGACACUGACACUGAGGUGCGAAAGCGUGGGUAGCAAACAGGAUUAGAUACCCUAGUAGUC
rnacentral:rRNA from 1 species